rnacentral:misc_RNA from 1 species
GAAAUGCGAUAAGUAAUGUGAAUUGCAGAAUUCAGUGAGUCAUCGAAUCUUUGAACGCACAUUGCGCCCGCCAGUAUUCUGGCGGGCAUGCCUGUUCGAGCGUCAUUUCAACCAUCAAGCCCCCGGCUUGUGUUGGGGACCUGCGGCUGCCCGCAGGCCCUGAAAAACAGUGGCGGGCUCGCUGUCACACCGAGCGUAGUAGCAUACAUUCUCGCUCAGGGCGUGCUGCGGGUUCCGGCCGUUAAACGACCUUCAUAACCCAAGGUUGACCUCGGAUCAGGUAGGAAGACCCGCUGAACUUAAGC